AGAAUUGGGUGACCAUGUAACCAACCUGCACAAGAUGGGGGCUCCCGAAUCUGGCAUGGCAGAGUAUCUCUUUGACAAGCACACCUUGGGAAACUGUGAUAUCAACAUCCCUGUC